rnacentral:tRNA from 1 species
GGUGCCGUAGCUCAGUUGGAUAGAGCGGCUCUCUCCUAAAGAGCAGGUCCCGGGUUCAACUCCCGGCGGCAUCACCA